AGUUCGAUUCUGGCUCAGAUUGAACGCUGGCGGGAUGCUUUACACAUGCAAGUCGAACGGGCAGCACGUGGACUUCGGUCUGGUGGCGAGUGGCGAACGGGUGAGUAAUGUAUCGGAACGUGCCUAGUAGCGGGGGAUAACUACGCAAAGCGUAGCACACGUAUACGCCCUUCGGGGGAAAGCGGGGGACCUUCGGGCCUCGCACUAUUAGAGCGGCCGAUAUCGGAUUAGCUAGUUGGUGGGGUAACGGCUCACCGUAUGAAUGAUCCGCAGCUGGUUUGAGAGGACGACCAGCCACACUGGGACUGAGACACGGCCCAGACUCCUACGGGAGGCAGCAGUGGGGAAUUUUGGACAAUGGGGGAAACCUGAAUCCAGCCAUCCCGCGUGUGCGAUGAAGGCCUUCGGGUUGUAAAGCACUUUGGCAGGAAAGAAACGGCACGGGAUAAUACCCCGUGCAACUGACGGUACCUGCAGAAUAAGCACUGCUAACUACGCGGUAAUACGUAGGGUGCAAGUGUUAAUCGGAAUUACUGCUAAAGCGUGCGCAGGCGGUUCGGAAGAAAGAUGUGAAAUCCCAGAGCUUAACUUUGGAACUGUAUUUUUAACUACCGAGCUAGGAGUAAGUCAGAGGGAGGCGGAAUUCCGCGUGUAGCAGUGAAAUGCGUAGAUAUGCGGAGGGAACACCUGAUGGCGAAGGCAGCCUCCUGGGAUAACACUGACGCUCAUGCACGAAAGGGUGGGGAGCAAACAGGAUUAGAUACCCUGGUAGUCCACGCCCUAAACGAUGUCAACUAGCUGUUGGGGCCUUCGGGCUCGGUAGCGCAGCUAACGGGCAGAAGUUGACCGCCUGGGGAGUACGGUCGCAAGAUUAAACCUAAAGGAAUUGACGGGGACCUACCAAGCGGUGGAUGAUGUGGAUUAAUUCGAUGCAACGCGAAAACCUUACCUACCCUUGACAUGUCUGGAAUCCCGAAGAGAUUUGGGAGUGUCGCAAGAGAACCGGAACACAGGUGCUGCAUGGCUGUCGUCAGCUCGUCGAGAUGUUGGGUUAAGUCCCGCAACGAGCGCAACCCUUGUCAUUAGUUGUUACGAAAGGGCACUCUAUCGAGAUCAGCCGGUGACAAACCGAGGAAGGUGGGGAUGACGUCAAGUCCUCUCAUGGCCCUUAUGGGUAGGGCUUCACACGUCAUACAAUGGUCGGGACAGGAGGGUCGCCAACCCAAGCGAGGGGGAAGCAAUCCCAGAAACCCGAUCGUAGUCCGAUCGCAGUCUGCAACUCGACUGCGUGAAGUCGGAAUCGAUAGUAAUCGUGGAUCAACAUGUCGCGGUGAAUACGUUCCCGGUCUUGUACACACCGCUCAUCACACCAUGGGAGUGGGUUUUACCAGAAGUAGUUAGCCUAACCGUAAGGAGGGCGAUUACCACGGUAGGAUUCAUGACUGGGGUGGGAAGUCAAUGGGCGUAAU
rnacentral:rRNA from 1 species